AACGAACGCUGGCGGCGUGCUUAACACAUGCAAGUCGAACGCGAAAUUUUUCUUCGGAAAGAAAGUAGAGUGGCGCACGGGUGAGUAACGCGUAAGUAAUCUACCCUGGCAUCUGGAAUAACUCACCGAAAGGUGUGCUAAUACCGGAUACGUUGAGAGAUCAAGAAAGGUGGCCUCUGCAUAUGCUACUGUGCUGGGAUGAGCUUGCGUACCAUUAGCUAGUUGGUAGGGUAAUGACCUACCAAGGCGACGAUGGUUAGCGGGUCUGAGAGGAAGAUCCGCCCCAGUGGAACUGAGACACGGUCCAGACUCCUACGGGAGGCAGCAGUGGGGAAUCUUGCGCAAUGGGCGAAAGCCUGACGCAGCAACGCCGCGUGUGUGAUGAAGGUCUUCGGAUCGUAAAGCACUGUCGGGAGGGACGAAUAAGGGCCGGGUGAACAAUCCGGUUCGAUGACGGUACCUCCAAAGGAAGCACCGGCUAACUCUGUGCCAGCAGCCGCAGUAAGAC
rnacentral:rRNA from 1 species